AGGAAGGUCAAUUUCAAAGCUCUGCAUUGGAAAGCUUACUACUACCGCGUUAACUUCUCAAGGACUUCAGGGACAAGUGUGAAGCAAGCCCCCUCUUGCAAGCAAAAUUAUGGUUCUUAUGUGUCAGAUUUAAGUGGUGAGGGCUAAAAGUUGAAGUGACAGAGUUCAGCCUCCCAUGCUGUGCAGAGAAGGAAGAGGAAGCCUGAUUGACAUCUAUGAUGAGCCUACAGCUACCAAGCAAGAACUACUGGCAGACUUCUCAUAAACUAGACUCUUUUGCCAAAUUUGGCUGCAAUUCUCCAAACAGCUGAUAAGCUACAGCCCACACGCACGUUUCCACAAGCAAUUGGAUUGGCCUGGUUUCCUCAGGAGCUGACCUACAUGCCAAGACCAUUUCAGCAGUGCCUACCAUAUGAAAAAAAUCAGUUCCCUCUAAAUCUGAAUAAAACUGAGCACUUCCCCCCCCCUCCCCCCGACAUUUUUCUUGCUAGACAAAACAGUUUUGAUGAAGGGUGAUUUUCCAAAGGAAAGGGCAGCUCGAAUACUCAGCCAUGGAGAAAGCUUGUGAAAUGCCUUGUGCUGUCAGUGAAGGAAGAGGAACAGCCCUUACCUCCCAGUCCUGCUGCAGAUUUUAAAUGCAUAAAUAAUCCUAGCACCUGAACAGGACCGCUGCCAUUGCUGCACAUGCACACCAAAGUGCCAGUUGUAAGGUGACAGUCUGUGACUAUCUCUCAGUUUGUCAGAUACUGACGCAUCCAUCCUUUCUCCCAUUGUUUGUUUGACAUGUUUUAGUUAGACUGUAAAUUUUUCGAGACGUAGAUCAACUCUAAGCAUUUCUUCAAA